rnacentral:rRNA from 1 species
UACGGGGGGGGCAAGCGUUGUUCGGAAUUACUGGGCGUAAAGGGUUCGUAGGUGGCUUGCUAAGUCAGACGUGAAAUCCCUCAGCUUAACUGGGGAACUGCGUCUGAGACUGGUGAGCUUGAGUGCAGGAGAGGAACGCGGAAUUCCAGGUGUAGCGGUGAAAUGCGUAGAUAUCGUAAGGAAGACCAGUGGCGAAGGCGGGUCUCUGGACAGUUCCUGACGCUGAGGCACGAAGGUCAGGGGAGCAAACAGG